AAUUUUGGACAAUGGGGGAAACCCUGAUCCAGCCAUCCCGCGUGUAUGAUGAAGGCCUUCGGGUUGUAAAGUACUUUUGGCAGAGAAGAAAAGGUAUCCCCUAAUACGGGAUACUGCUGACGGAAUCUGAAGAAUAAGCACCGGCUAACUAUGUGCCAGCAGCCGCGGUCAUACGUAGGGUGCAAGCGUUAAUCGGAAUUACUGGGCGUAAAGCAUGUGUAGGCGGUUCGGAAAGAAAGAUGUGAAGUCCCAGGGAUGAACCUUAGAACUGCAUUGUUAACUACCGGGCUAGAGUAUGUCAGAGGAGGGUAGAAUUCCACGUGUAGCAGUGAGAUGCGUAGAUAUGUGAAGGAAUACCGAUGGCGAAGGCAGCCCCCUGGGAUAAUACUGACGCUCAGACACGAAAGCGUGGGGAGCAAACAGG
rnacentral:rRNA from 1 species